rnacentral:ncRNA from 1 species
CCGGGGAUAACAGGCUUAUCUCCCCCAAGAGUCCACAUCGACGGGGAGGUUUGGCACCUCGAUGUCGGCUCAUCGCAUCCUGGGGCUGUAGUCGGUCCCAAGGGUUGGGCUGUUCGCCCAUUAAAGCGGUACGCGAGCUGGGUUCAGAACGUCGUGAGACAGUUCGGUCCCUAUCCGUCGUGGGCGCAGGAAAUUUGAGAGGAGCUGUCCUUAGUACGAGAGGACCGGGAUGGACGCACCGCUGGUGUACCAGUUGUCUUGCCAAAGGCAUCGCUGGGUAGCUAUGUGCGGAAGGGAUAAGUGCUGAAAGCAUCUAAGCAUGAAGCCCCCCUCGAGAUGAGAUUUCCCAUAGCGUCAAGCUAGUAAGAUCCCUGAAAGAUGAUCAGGUUGAUAGGUCAGAGGUGGAAGCGUGGCGACAUGUGGAGCUGACUGAUACUAAUCGAUCGAGGACUUAACCAA